CACUAUUACAGUCAAGAUUGAUGAGGAGUUAAAUAAAACCAUUUUAAAUAACAGCUGUCACACUUAAUUGUACUUAUUUAAGCCAUUUACGUUCUUAAAUUACAAGUCCUUCAUUUAAUAUUAUUUAUUUUUUAAAUAAAAUAAUGUCGUGUCUAUGUUUAAAAUCUAAAAGAAGCAGGGGCAGAUAGUGCUCGGAACGUUUUUUCAUGUAACUAUAACUCAACCAAAUCUAAAAUGUUACCUUGUCCCUUCCUAAAUUGCGGCAGCACGUGUUUUUUAAUUUUGUUGGUUUAUAAUGUCAUCUAUCUGCGACUGUCAAUUUGACAUAUUGUUAUUCACUUGUGGAUACUUGUGAAUGCUACGCCUUGUUUCGUUGUUAUUGUUGAGUUUUCGUGGUUUAGUUGUUAUUUGUUACUGUUUUUCUGUUUGUUAUUGUUACUAUAUUAGUGUUACGUAAUUUUGUGUUGUUCAUACAAAGCAGUACAUUUUGUUGAACUAUGAACACGGACGAUCUCGGUGCAGGCCCGAGUGGCUUGCAAGCGCAACAUGUACGUACUGAAACUGCUAGUGACGCUGAGCAACGUCAACAGCCAAAACGACGUGGCCCCAAAAUUGAACACGACGUUAAAAUAUUGUCUCCCAAGAAAAAGCGAUCAAAGCAAACACCUCUUCAUUCUGCAGAAAAAACAACAGUUUUAAAUAUUUAUAAAGACAUCAAGGGGUCCCAGUCAGAAAGUACUCCUGCUUAUAUGACGCAGUUAAUUAAUAAAACUGCAGAAAUUGCAGGUAAAGAUUGCAGGGAUUUUAUUAUAAUAAAUAAAUGUAUUUGAAAAUAGCAUGCUUUGUGAGGAUGAAUAACAUACACUAUUAAUCGUUUUACAGGCAUAUCUCGUGCAACAGUGUAUAAUAUCCUCAAAGAGUACAAUACAGAAGGUCGCCUGCAAUCACCUCCUCCUCGCCAACGGAAAUAUUCAAAAUCGGAUGAAUAUGAUGAUAUAAUAUUAAGUGGAAUACGAAGGAAAAUUCAUUCUUUUUUCUUUGAUAAUGAAUUACCGACAUUGGAUAAGAUUCUGGAAGCCGUGAAUAGUGAUGAGUCUCUACCCGAUUUUAAAAGAAGCUCUUUAUAUAAUUUAAUCAAAAACAAAUUAAAAUUUACAUAUAUUAAAAGAAGUAGAAGAAGUGCCCUAAUCGACAGACAGGAGAUUGUAUUAUGGAGGGUGAAAUAUCUCCAUGAAAUUAAGAGAUUAAGGAAUGAAGGAAAAAAAAUAUAUUAUUUAGAUGAGACUUGGCUAAAUGAAGAUAUAGUGCUGCUAAUAUUUGUGAAGUCUGGAAGAAGGGGGUUUUACAUAACUCGGACACACAAAAAGCAAAGUAUGGCAAGACAGUACUGUUAAGUCUUCAAAGGAAGCACACCGAGCAGGCUUAUCAACUGGUUUAAAGAACCCAACUGGAAAAGGAAAACGGCUUAUCAUUGGCCAUAUUGGAUCAACAGAUGGGUUUUUAAUGAAUGGUGAAUUAAUAUUUGAAGCCAAAAAGGGAGAUGGAGACUA
rnacentral:misc_RNA from 1 species